UCUUGAGACCUGAUGGAUCACAUGAGCAAGCACCAACUGGGCUGCUAGCUUCCUCUCACUGCCAUUACUCUGAGAUACUCUGUGGCAGCCACUUGGACACCUUUUAAGUCCUCAAACUUGCAGAAAGAAUUGGAUGGCAAAGGCUCCAGAUUUUGUAACAUCAAAGAUUUCCAGACAGGACUGGUGGUGGUAAAAGAAGUGCUUCAGACAUGGACAUCUAUCCCAGGAGCCUCUGAUGUUAACCACAAAUGAGAAACCCACAACUUCAAAGUCAAUAUCUGGCCAACACAGAAGCAGUGAGUACCUUCCACUCCAGGUCAAAGUUUGGAAAUGACAUCUUCCAUCAAAAGGAGCCACAGUACUCAAUGAAAUGGCAAUUCACGGUCUGAAGCAGCAAAUGGAGAAAAGGAACCAGGAGUGUCUAUCAGGCAUGGCACUAAAGGACCAGUGUCUCUAGGCUUUGAGAAGAACUGAUUGCUAACACAAGAAAACCACAGAUGACCAAGCAAUCUGUGCCUCCCGAUGGCCAAAAAAGAAUGUACCCUCACUCACGAAGAAUUGCCUAAAAUAAGCAAAUAACUUGAAUAGCACAAAGCUUUUCAUUCCAACUUACAAUUUCAGAAAAUUUACAGGAAUGAGGAACAUCUCAUACCAUGCUGGUGGCAUGCAAACAGCAGAGAACCAGAGAAAUGCAGCAAGUGGCCUGAUCUCUUCAGUAAAGAAUUCCCAACACGGGAGAAGAUGUGCAGAUCAAACAAGAUCUUAAAGACAUACUAACCAACUGCAACAUCGAGAACCAAA